CACGUAGGGCGCAAGCGUUGUCCGGAAUUAUUGGGCGUAAAGAGCUCGUAGGCGGUUUGUCGCGUCUGCCGUGAAAGUCCGGGGCUCAACUCCGGAUCUGCGGUGGGUACGGGCAGACUAGAGUGAUGUAGGGGAGACUGGAAUUCCUGGUGUAGCGGUGAAAUGCGCAGAUAUCAGGAGGAACACCGGUGGCGAAGGCGGGUCUCUGGGCAGUAACUGACGCUGAGGAGCGAAAGCGUGGGGAGCGAACAGG
rnacentral:rRNA from 1 species